AGCCAUGCAUGUCUAAGUAUAAGCAAUAUACAGUGAAACUGCGAAUGGCUCAUUAAAUCAGUUAUCGUUUAUUUGAUGGUCCCAACCCUACUUGGAUACCAGUGGCAAUUCUAGAGCUAAUACAUGCUAAAACCCCCGACUUCGGGAGGGGUGCGUAUAUCAGACAAAAAACCAAUGCCCUUUGGGCUCCUUGGUGAAUCAUGGUAUCCUAGCGAAUCGCAUGGCCUUGAGCCGGCGAUGGUUCAUUCAAAUUUCUGCCCUAUCAACUUUCGAUGGUAAGGUAUUGGCUUACCAUGGUUUCAACGGGUAACGGGGGAUUAGGGUUCGAUUCCGGAGAGGGAGCCUGAGAAACGGCUACCACAUCCAAGGAAGGCAGCAGGCGCGCAAAUUACCCAAUCCCAACACGGGGAGGUAGUGACAAGAAAUACUGAUACAGGGCUCUUUUGGGCCUUGUAAUUGGAAUGAGUACAAUUUAAAUCCCUUAACGAGGAACAAUUGGAGGGCAAGUCUGGUGCCAGCAGCCGCGGUAAUUCCAGCUCCAAUAGCGUAUAUUAAAGUUGUUGCAGUUAAAAAGCUCGUAGUUGAAACUUGGGCCAGGCCGGCCGGUCCGCCUAACCGCGUGCACUGGUUCGGCCCGGCCCUUCCCUCUGGGGAACCGCAUGCCCUUCGCUGGGCGUGUCGGGGAACCAGGACUUUUACUUUGAAAAAAUUAGAGUGUUCAAAGCAGGCCUAUGCUCGGAUACCUUAGCAUGGAAUAAUGAAAUAGGACGUGCGGUCCUAUUUUGUUGGUUUCUAGAACCGCCGUAAUGAUUAAUAGGGACAGUCGGGGGCGUCCGUAUUCUGCCGCGAGAGGUGAAAUUCUUAGACCGGCUGAAGACGAUCUACUGCGAAAGCAUUCGCCAAGGAUGUUUUCAUUAAUCAGUGAACGAAAGUUGGGGGAUCGAAGACGAUCAGAUACCGUCGUAGUCUCAACCGUAAACUAUGCCGACUAGGGAUCGGGCGGCGUUCAAAUCUUGACCCGCCCGGCACCUCGCGAGAAAUCAAAGUUUUUGGGUCUGGGGG
rnacentral:rRNA from 1 species